UACGGAGGGUGCGAGCGUUGUCCGGAAUCACUGGGCGUAAAGGGCGCGUAGGUGGUGGCUUAAGCGUGCGGUGAAAGCUCGGGGCUCAACCCCGAGUCGGCCGUGCGAACUGGGCUCACUGGAGCAUAGUAGAGGCAGGUGGAAUUCCAUGUGUAGCGGUGAAAUGCGUAGAGAUAUGGAGGAACACCAGUGGCGAAGGCGACUUUCUGGUCUGUAACUGACACUGAGGCGCGAAAGCGUGGGGAGCAAACAGG
rnacentral:rRNA from 1 species